rnacentral:lncRNA from 1 species
AGCCACCCGCCCUAAUACGAGGAUAGCCCGUGACAACCAGAAUGCAGUAUCCCUAAAGCCUCUGCAGUCCCUGCGAUUGUGGGAUCCUGACUAUGUCAGGAUUUUGGCUUUGCAGGGUGUGGCAAGGGUCUUGCUCUUGCCUGGGGCUGGAGUGCAGGGUGAAGUCACACCUCAUUGCAGCCUCAACCUCCCAGACUCAAGCAAUCCUCCCACCUCAGCAGGCAUAUAUAAAUGGAAUCAUCGAAAUUUAAAAUUUGCACUUCAAAGAACACCAUCAAGAAAGUGAAGACAACCCAGAGAAUGGGAGAAAAUAUUUGCAAUCAUAUAUCUGAUAAAGGACAUGUAUACAGAAUUUUGUAAAACUAUUACAACUGAAUAAUAAGAACAAAUAACACAAUGAAAAAAAUAGGCAAAGUAUUUGGUUAGAUAGUUCUCCAAAGAAGAUAUAUAAUGGCCAAUAAACACAUGAAAAGAUGCCGAACAUCAUUAGCCAUCAGGGAAAUGCAAAUCAAAACGACAGUAAGAUACCACUUCCCACCUACUAGCUUGACCGUAAUCCAGAAGACAGAUUACAAGUAUUGGAAAGGAUGUGAAGAAAUUACAACUUUCAUAACUUGCUGGCAGGAAUGUAAAAUGGUGCAACCAUUUUGGAAAACAGUCUGGCAGUUUCUUCAGUCAGUAAAACAUACCAUAUGACCCAGCAAUUCCACCCCUAGUUGUAUACUUAAGAGAAAUGAAAAUGUGUGCACCAAGAACUUGUAUAUGAAUGUUCAUAGCUGCAAAAUCCAUAACAGUCAUUAUGUGGAAACAACCUAAAUGUCUAUCAGCUGAUGUAUGAAUAAACAAAACAUGCUAUGUUCAUACAAUGGAAUAUUGUUUGGCCAUAGUAAGAAAUGGUACCAAUACAUGCUACAAUGUGAAUGAACCUUAAAAACAUGCUAAGUGAAAGAAGUCAGUCACAGAAAACCACAUAUAAUAUGAUUCUAUUGAUAUGAAAUAUCCAGAAUAGGCAAAUAUACAGAGAUAGAAAGAUUAGUGGUUGCCUAUGGGGAGGGGCUUGGGGAGUGGUAUCUAAAUGGUGCAGUUUCUUUUGGAGGUAGUGAAAGAGUUCUAAAAAAUGACUGGGAGGCCAGGUGCAUGGCUCAGGCCUGUAAUCCCAGCACUUUUGAAGGCUGAGGCAGGAGGAUUGCUCGAGCCAAGGAGAUCAAGAUCAGCCUAGGCAACAUAGCGAGACCCCAUCUCUAUAAAAAAAAUUAAUUAAAGGAAAAAGAUGAUCAGGGCAGUAAAUACACAAGUCUGUGAUUAUACUAAAACCAUUGAAAUGUAAACUUUUAAUGGGUAAAUUGCAUAGUAUUUGGAUUAUAUCUGAAUAAAGCUGUUUUUAGAAAAAUAC